rnacentral:misc_RNA from 1 species
AACCAUUCUCACCUGCGGCUAGACCUGCGGAAGGAUCAUUAAUGUUACCUCAUCCAACUUGCUUGCUGGCGCCCAAGAAAUUGGACCAGCCAGCAAGCAAAGCACCCGUGAAUUUGUUAAAGUCCUUAACAGCAUCCAGCGCUGCUGGACCUGCUGUUAAAGCACCCCAUCUCUUAACCGAUUGUCUAAUCAAUGAGCGCCUCUACUCAUUUUUUUUCUUUUAAGAUGAGUCUUGGCGCG